CAAUAGCGUAUAUUAAAGUUGUUGCAGUUAAAAAGCUCGUAGUUGGAUUUGUGGCGUACGGUGUGUUCCGGGCACUUGUUGUCUGAGUAACCUGCUGUUGCCAUCCUUGGGUGGAACCUGUGUGGCAUUAGGUUGUCGUGCAGGGGAUGCCCAUCAUUUACUGUGAAAAAAUUAGAGUGUUCAAAGCAGGCUUAUGCCGUUGAAUAUAUUAGCAUGGAAUAAUGAGAUAGGACUUUUUUGCUAUUUUGUUGGUUUGCGCAAAGAGGUAAUGAUUAAUAGGGACAGUUGGGGGUAUUCGUAUUCCAUUGUCAGAGGUGAAAUUUUUGGAUUUUUGGAAGACGAACUACUGCGAAAGCAUUUACCAAGGAUGUUUUCAUUAA
rnacentral:rRNA from 1 species